rnacentral:rRNA from 1 species
UACGUAGGGCGCAAGCGUUGUCCGGAAUUAUUGGGCGUAAAGAGCUCGUAGGCGGCUUGUCACGUCGGAUGUGAAAGCCCGGGGCUUAACUCCGGGUCUGCAUUCGAUACGGGCUGGCUAGAGUUCGGUAGGGGAGAUCGGAAUUCCUGGUGUAGCGGUGAAAUGCGCAGAUAUCAGGAGGAACACCGGUGGCGAAGGCGGAUCUCUGGGCCGAUACUGACGCUGAGGAGCGAAAGCGUGGGGAGCGAACAGG